UACAUGAAUGCAAUGCAGGAGUUAGUGUUUAGACGGUUAUUUGAACAACACUUGCAGUUUAAGCUCGGACACUUGUAGCAAGGUUACAGAAAAAGGUGGGGAAGUUCACUGUAGUUGGUGGAGAAAAGGAUAAAAGGAGUCGGAUGGGAAAUAGAUUUGUGAUCUGACCCUUAAACUUUAAGGGAUACUGUGUUCGGGGUCCUCAGACUUAACGCAGAGAAAUCCCGAUCUUUUACACAGAUACCCUCGGCUCAAGGAAAAGGAUACAGCCGAGUCCUCGGGCGAGGCGAAAAAGGGUCGGCUAAACAGGCAGGGUCGGGCGAGACGGAAAAAGGGGUCGGGCAAAAUGAAAAGGGGUCGGCAGCUUACCUUCG
rnacentral:lncRNA from 1 species